rnacentral:rRNA from 1 species
UACGGGGGGAGCAAGCGUUGUUCGGAUUUACUGGGCGUAAAGGGCGCGUAGGCGGUCAGCACAAGUCAGUUGUGAAAUCUCCGGGCUUAACUCGGAAAGGUCAACUGAUACUGUGCGACUAGAGUGCGGAAGGGGCAACUGGAAUUCUCGGUGUAGCGGUGAAAUGCGUAGAUAUCGAGAGGAACACCGGUGGCGAAGGCGGUCUGCUGGGCAGUUGCUGACGCUGAUGCGCGACAGCGUGGGGAGCAAACAGG